rnacentral:rRNA from 1 species
CCUACGGGAGGCAGCAGUGAGGAAUAUUGGUCAAUGGGCGAGAGCCUGAACCAGCCAAGUCGCGUGAGGGAGUACUGCCCUAUGGGUUGUAAACCUCUUUUGUCGGGGAGCAAAAGCCGGACGUGUCCGGCUGUGAGAUUACCCGAAGAAAAAGAAUCGGCUAACUCCGUGCCAGCAGCGGGGGUAAUACGGAGGAUGCGGACGUUAUUCGGAUUUAUUGGGUUUAAAGGGGGCGCGGGCGGAUUUUUAAGUCAGCGGGAAAAUCGUGGGGCUAAACACAAUCUAGCCGUUGAAACUGGGGGACUAGAGUGUGCGAGAGGUAUGCGGAAUGCGUGGUGUAGCGGUGAAAUGCAUAGAUAUCACGCAGAACCCCGAUUGCGAAGGCAGCUUACC